AUUGCCCUAGUAACGGCGAGUGAAGCGGCAACAGCUCAAAUUUGAAAUCUGGCUUCGGCCCGAGUUGUAAUUUGUAGAGGAAGCUUUUGGUGAGGCACCUUCUGAGUCCCCUGGAACGGGGCGCCAUAGAGGGUGAGAGCCCCGUAUAGUCGGAUGCCGAUCCAAUGUAAAGCUCCUUCGACGAGUCGAGUAGUUUGGGAAUGCUGCUCAAAAUGGGAGGUAAAUUUCUUCUAAAGCUAAAUACCGGCCAGAGACCGAUAGCGCACAAGUAGAGUGAUCGAAAGAUGAAAAGCACUUUGAAAAGAGGGUUAAAUAGCACGUGAAAUUGUUGAAAGGGAAGCGUUUGUGACCAGACUUGCGCCGUUCCGAUCAUCCGGUGUUCUCACCGGUGCACUCGGGACGGCACAGGCCAGCAUCGGUUUUGGCGGGGGGACAAAGGCCCUGGGAACGUAGCUCCUCCGGGAGUGUUAUAGCCCAGGGCGUAAUGCCCUCGCCGGGACCGAGGUUCGCGCAUCUGCAAGGAUGCUGGCGUAAUGGUCACCAACGACCCGUCUUGAAACACGGACCAAGGAGUCAAGGUUUUGCGCGAGUGUUUGGGUGUAAAACCCGCACGCGUAAUGAAAGUGAACGUAGGUGAGAGCUUCGGCGCAUCAUCGACCGAUCCUGAUGUAUUCGGAUGGAUUUGAGUAAGAGCGUUAAGCCUUGGACCCGAAAGAUGGUGAACUAUGCUUGGAUAGGGUGAAGCCAGAGGAAACUCUGGUGGAGGCUCGCAGCGGUUCUGACGUGCAAAUCGAUCGUCAAAUCUGAGCAUGGGGGCGAAAGACUA
rnacentral:rRNA from 4 species